ACUCAGGAUGGGGUCAUGGCUGAGACUAUGAGGGCUGCUCGUGCAUGACCCUGCCUGCUGGCCUCCAUGGGCCCACUAUCUGAAUGUGGUUCCCCUUCUCUGCAGGACCAGGUGCCACCUCCUCUGGGAAGCUUUCCCUGCCCAUCCACAGGGUAUGCCUCCUUGUUCCUCUCCUGCCAUCAGUUUACGUGCCUGUCUCCAUCAACAGACCAGGAGCUCCUGAGGACAGGGACUGAGUCUGUCUGAUUCAUCUCUGCAUUCCUAGCACUUACCUUGGUGCUUAGUGAAAGCUCGAACCUGCCUGGGUUCCCACCUUGUCUCUGCUACCCCCAGCUCUGUGAACUCAGAGCCAACUACUAAGCCUGUAGCAGCCUCCCAAACUGUCCAGUUUUGUUCAGAUGCACCUCCAGAAACACAGGGGUCCAAAAUGCCUCUUCCCAGACACCCUGAGGAGUAGAACAGUGCCAGCAGGCUCCAGGGAUGAGGGACUAG
rnacentral:lncRNA from 1 species